GAUGAACGCUGGCGGUAUGCUUAACACAUGCAAGUCGUACGAAGAUCUUUGAUCUUAGUGGCGGACGGGUGAGUAACACGUGAGAAUCUGCCCUUAGGAAGAGGAUAACAGCUGGAAACGGUUGCUAAUACUCUAUACGCCGAGAGGUAAAAGGAUUUAUCCACCUUAGGAAGAGCUCGCGUCUGAUUAGCUUGUUGGUAAGGUAAUGGCUUACCAAGGCGACGAUCAGUAGCUGGUUUGAGAGGACGACCAGCCACACUGGGACUGAGACACGGCCCAGACUCCUACGGGAGACAGCAGUGGGGAAUUUUCCGCAAUGGGCGAAAGCCUGACGGAGCAAUACCGCGUGAGGGAUGAAAGCCUGUGGGUUGUAAACCUCUUUUCUCAAGGAAGAAGUUCUGACGGUACUUGAGGAAUAAGCAUCGGCUAACUCUGUG
rnacentral:rRNA from 1 species